rnacentral:rRNA from 1 species
GACGGAAGGUGCAAGCGUUGCUCGGAAUCACUGGGCGUAAAGGGUGCGUAGGCGGCCUGGUAAGUCUGGCGUGAAAGCCCAGGGCUCAGCCCUGGAAGGGCGCUAGAAACUGCGAGGCUCGAGUGCCGGAGGGGAGAGUGGAAUUCCUGGUGUAGCGGUGAAAUGCGUAGAUAUCAGGAGGAAUACCGGGUGGCGAAAGCGACUCUCUGGACGGUAACUGACGCUGAGGCACGAAAGCGUGGGGAGCGAACAGG